GUUAAGCAGGGUCCCGCGUGUGGAAGCCCAGGACGGUCAGGUGACAGCGACGUCCUGGGUAGCGCUGUGCACGAGGGCAUGCCCGGCUGAGCAGCUGGGGUGACGAACCCUGUGUGCCAACUGCUCGUGCAGAGCGGGCCUGCAGGAAACAGACAGACGGCAAAGACAGAGCCGGGCUCCUAAGAACUGAAUCCAGCGGGAAAGACCAACGGGGAAUGAAAGCUCCGGACAGAAUACCGAUGAAAAGGGGACAUGUGGGUGUCCCCCCCAUUCUCACUGCCACGCCAGGAUGACAACCACAAACGCAGUGGAAAGUGGCUCCUGGCCACCGAGGAGAUGGUCUCCCCCACGCCUCCGCACACCUGCAUGAGAGUCCGCUGUCCACGCCUCGAAUGCUGACCAGGCCCACCGCUAUACUGAUAAACUCCAGGAUGCCUGUGAGACCAACAGCAGAGGGAGACAGGUCAGAGCACAGAUCAUCUCCCCUGGAGCGCCCACAUCCCUGGGAGCAUCUCCCCUGGAGCGUCCACAUCCCUGGGAGCAUCUCCCCUGGAGCGUCCACAUCCCUGGGAGCAUCUCCCCUGGAGCGUCCACAUCCCUGGGAGCAUCUCCUCUGGAGCGUCCACAUCCCUGGGAGCAUCUCCCCUGGAGCGUCCACAUCCCUGGGAGCAUCUAAGAGGAGGGCCGCACCUUGACCCGAGAAGUGUCUUCUCUUAAAACAACUGCCCCAGGGGGCUUCCCUGGUGGUGCAGUGGUUGAGAAUCUGCCUGCCAAUGCAGGGGACACGGGUUCGUGCCCUGGUCUGGGAAGAUCCCACAUGCCACGGAGCAACGAGGCCCGUGAGCCACAACUGCUGAGCCUGCGCGUCUGGAGCCUGUGCUCCGCAACAAGAGAGGCCGCGAUAGUGAGAGGCCCGUGCACCGCGAUGAAGAGUGGCCCCCGCUUGCCGCAACUAGAGAAAGCCCUCGCACAGGAACGAAGACCC